rnacentral:rRNA from 1 species
GAUGAACGCUGGCGGCGUGCUUAACACAUGCAAGUCGAACGUGAGAAUAGCAAUAUUUGAAAGUGGCAAACGGGUGAGUAACACGUGGGAACCUGCCUCGAAGUGGGGGAUAACGAUUGGAAACGGUCGCUAAUACCGCACGGUUCUGCUCUGAUGGGAAUGGAGCAGAUAAAGAUUUAUCGCUUUGAGAGGGGCCCGCGGCCGAUUAGCUAGUUGGUAAGGUAAAGGCUUACCAAGGCGAUUAUCGGUAGCUGGUCUGAGAGGACGAUCAGCCACACGGGGAACUGAGACACGGUCCCGACUCCUACGGGGGGGCAGCAGUUGAGGAAUAUUGGGCAAUGGGCGAAAGCCUGACCCAGCAACGCCGCGUGGAGGAUGAAGGCUUUAGGGUUGUAAACUCCUUUUGUGGGGGAAAAGAAUGGAUGGUACCCCAAGAAUAAGUCACGGCUAACU